GAUGAACGCUGGCGGCGUGCCUAAUACAUGCCAGUCGAGCGAACAGACGAGGAGCUUGCUCCUUUGACGUUAGCGGCGGACGGGUGAGUAACACGUAGGUAACCUACCUAUAAGACUGGGAUAACUUCGGGAAACCGGAGCUAAUACCGGAUAAUAUUUCGAACCGCAUGGUUCGAUAGUGAAAGAUGGCUUUGCUAUCACUUAUAGAUGGACCUGCGCCGUAUUAGCUAGUUGGUAAGGUAACGGCUUACCAAGGCAACGAUACGUAGCCGACCUGAGAGGGUGAUCGGCCAAACUGGAACUGAGACACGGUCCAGACUCCUACGGGAGGCAGCAGUAGGGAAUCUUCCGCAAUGGGCGAAAGCCUGACGGAGCAACGCCGCGUGAGUGAUGAAGGUCUUCGGAUCGUAAAACUCUGUUAUUAGGGAAGAACAAACGUGUAAGUAACUGUGCACGUCUUGACGGUACCUAAUCAGAAAGCCACGGCUAACUACGUG
rnacentral:rRNA from 1 species